CCUACGGGGGGCAGCAGUGAGGAAUAUUGGUCAAUGGGCGCGAGCCUGAACCAGCCAAGCCGCGUGAGGGAAGACGGUACUGCGUAUUGUAAACCUCUUUUGUCAGGGAACAAAGGCGGGGACUAGUCCCCGGUUGAGGGUACUUGAAGAAAAAGCAUCGGCUAACUCCGUGCCAGCAGCCGCGGUAAUACGGAGGAUGCGAGCGUUAUCCGGAUUUAUUGGGUUUAAAGGGUGCGCAGGCGGCCUGUUAAGUCAGCGGUAAAAUCCCGGGGCUCAACCCCGGCGAGCCGUUGAAACUGGCGGUCUGGAGUGGGAGAGAAGUACGCGGAAUGCGCGGUGUAGCGGUGAAAUGCUUAGAUAUCGCGCAGAACCCCGAUUGCGAAGGCAGCAUACCGGCUCCACACUGACGCUGAGGCACGAAAGCGUGGGUAUCGAACAGGAUUAGAUACCCCGGUAGUC
rnacentral:rRNA from 1 species